rnacentral:lncRNA from 1 species
GUUGGUUGUAGAGAAUAGAGGAGGUGAAUUCCUAACUUCUAUUUAUCUAUAUUUACAACUCUUUAGAACUCUAUCAUCUUGGAAAUGUUUACAAGAAGAAAAAAAAAGUGUCUAUAUUUCCCUAAAAACAGGCCAAAUAAACUAACUCUUAACAUCAGAUACAUAUGGAAAGCCCAGGGCUUAAAACUCCUUUUAUUUAUUUUUUUGAUGGGCACCUGGAAUAAAAUGUUCCAAAUUUAACACUUAAAAGGGAACAAAGUAUCCUAUUAUGCAAAUGGUGUUAUAGAACGGAGAGCCCCUGAGCGAAGGAAGAUAAAUGAAUUUAUAAUUGCAUUUUAAUCUUCUCCACUGGAAACAGUCUCUUGCCUCCUGCAGCACAGACCAAUUGUUGAGUCAAGAGAUGGAGAUGUCAAUGUUCUACUAUGAUAGACUUAAUUAUGAGCACUGUUGUUUGCUUUAUUAUUUUUGUUAUAGAAAAAAAUGCCCAAAAUUUAGACCUGGGAAUAGCAGGGGUGAUUAAGGAAACAAUCUAUAUAGUUGAUAAACUCCUCCUCAAACUUACACUUUCCAGUGAUUUGUUUUAAAAGUUGACCAAUCGAAUUUGCUUGUUUCCAUGCGUAGGAGGUAGUAGCUCUCCCCUGGGGAGUUUGAUGGAAGACACCUGCUGGCACAGUAAGGACUUUUGCAGUCUGACCAUUUGGAAUCAAGGCUCCAAGUGCUUCUCUUCAUUCAAAGAAUGCACCUCAUGUCACACAGAUACAAAAGUCCCUAAUGAUACAUCAAUGAAAAGAGCUGUUUGUCUUGACUCAGUUUCAAGGCUUACAGUCACCCCAGUGUCCAAGGCAGAAGCAAGUGCAUUUCUUUCUUUGCAAAGCAAAGAGCCUCUCCACACCUCUGCGGCGAGAUUAACAAGAAGCUGAAGCCAUUUCAGGUGUCUGGUGGAAAUCUAGUCUGCAGAUGUACGCUGCUUUUCAGCCAGCGGUGGUGCACGCCUUUUAUCCCAGCACUCCGGUGGCAGAAACAGGCUGAUCUCUGAGUUAAGACAAGGUCAAGUUCAAGACAGCCAGGGGUAAACAGAGAAACACUGACUCAAAUAAAUAACUGAUAACAAAAAUAAAAAUAAAGGGGGCUGGAGAGAUGGCUCAGUGACUGCUCUUCUAGAGGACCUGAGUUCAAUUCCCAGCAACCACAUGGUGGUUCACAACCAUCUAUAGUGGGAUCUGAUGCCCUCUGUUUUAUGUGUGUCUGAAGACAGCUACAAUGUGCUCAUAUAAAUAAAAAUAAUAAUAAAUCUUUUAAAAAAUAAAUAAAAU